CCUACGGGAGGCAGCAGUGGGGAAUAUUGCACAAUGGGGGAAACCCUGAUGCAGCGACGCCGCGUGGGUGAGGAAGGAUUUCGGUAUGUAAAGCUCUUUCAGUAGGGAAGAAAAUGACGGUACCUGACUAAGAAGCCCCGGCUAACUACGUGCCAGCAGCCGCGGUAAUACGUAGGGGGCAAGCGUUAUCCGGAUUUACUGGGUGUAAAGGGAGCGUAGGCGGAAUAGCAAGUCUGAUGUGAAAGUCCGGGGCGCAACCCGCGAACUGCAUUGGAAACUGUAAUUCGAGAGUGUGGGAGAGGGAAGUGGAAUUCCUGGUGUAGCGGUGAAAUGCGUAGAUAUCAGGAGGAACACCCGUGGCGAAGGCGGGUUGCUGGACGAUGACUGACGUUGAGGCUCGAAAGCGUGGGGAGCAAACAGGAUUAGAUACCCUAGUAGUC
rnacentral:rRNA from 1 species